UUAUGAGAAUAAAAUACCAAGAAAACUCAAAAUUGAGGUUGCAUUUACCAAACGCAUUCCCAGCUUUGACACUUACGAACCAGCCAAAGUCCGCAAUUCCUUCUCUCUUCCCCGCUCCGCUCACAUGCCGCCGCCUCGGCUAUCGUGACUCUCAAUACCCGAAUAGUGAAAUGGCGAAAUCACAUGGCAGCAAUGUUUCUCCUCCUGCGCAACAGAAAGGAAGCAAGAAUGUUCAGAGUGGACAUUCCCAGAAUAUGCUCACCUCAACCUUGACUAAAGGAAAUACAACCUAUGAUGAGUUUAAAUAUGGAUUCCCAUCUGAUGGCUUAUCAACUGCAUCCAAUAAAUGGUGGGGAAGCAAUAGCCCCGAUGGUAAUGAAGGCCUCCGUGGGAAAGGAGCUAAGACAGAGGAAGACAAAAAACCUCAGUCUGACAAAUUGGCAGAUGACAAUGCAAGUUCAAUAAUGGUGGACACAGAGAAACCUGAAAGUGGGAAAGACGAGAACAUUAGUCCCCAAGGAACAGAUUUGUUGGUGUCUGUGAGAAGAAGAGCUGUGGAAGAAAACCAAAAAGCACUUAAGCUUGGUGCUUUCCGGGGUUAUGGCGCAAAGAAGCUAGGCAGAAGAGAGAGGAAACUGCUUCUCCGAAUAUUCAAAUCUUCGACUCCAAAACAAUGGAUACAUGACUCCUCUUAGAUUCGAGGCGGAUUGCUCUGGACGUUAUAGAUGAUAAUCCAAGUUAAGAGAAUUCGAAUUCCCAUUCCUCUGUUCGAGGUGGAUUACUCUGGACAUUAUAGAUGAUAAUCCUAGUUAAGAUUACCUAGUUUUUAUUUUCGUUUUGUUUCUUUUUGGUUUUCUCAACAAGAUUGUACUUGACAAUUGACAGCUACAUUGAAUUCUGAAUCUGGAUUUUGACUGUACUAAUAUGAUGACCUUGAGGCUUCGUUAUGGUGUUCAGGAUUGGAUUGAAUGAGAUAACUCGCUGGAUUAGUAAUCACAGAAACUUCUCCCUAAUAAACCCACCAUGUUUUGGGGGAUUGGAAGGGAGGAGAUAAUUUUCUUUCAUGAUUAAUCCGUCUUUUACCUUCAACAGAACAUUACCCUAUCCAUCCUAGACACCAUACGAGGCCGGAAUUACGUAUGAGCUACCUGUAUCAAUUCAAAAUCCUGCUUGCUUAGCUUAUGUUCUGUUGAUGGGGUUUAGACAGAUAACUUUGUGCUCAAGAACCCAACAGAGAUUUCUGCCUGAUAUCUAAGAGAGUACGUGGCGAAAUUCUGUUGGUUACAGGUCAGCAUAUAAAAUAUCCAAAACUGUCGUACCCAAAAAAUCUGAGAGGUUAAUCUUCACCAAUGAGUAAACAGAUGAAGAUGUCACAUAAAACUAUAAGUAGACCUACUAACUACUCUUUCCAACACAACAAGAAGCAUUCAGAAACCCUACAUUGUCAAAUGGCUUCUUCUGCAAUGGCUCUCACCUCCCCUUCCCUAGCUGGCCAAGCUGUCAAGCUUAGUCAAUCGACUUCUACCCCUACUAGGCGAGGGCCGAAUAACCAUGCGCAAAACUGCAGCCAAGUCCAAAAAUGUAUCAUCCGGCAGCCCAUGGUACGGUCCAGACCCUGUCAAGUACUUGGGUCCUUUCUCUGGUGAGUCCCCAUCUUACCUCACAGGAGAAUUCCCUGGUGAUUACGGUUGGGACACUGCCGGACUCUCUGCAGACCCUGAGACAUUUGCUAAGAACCGUGAGCUUGAAGUCAUCCAUUCUAGAUGGGCAAUGCUCGGCGCUCUGGGCUGCAUUUUCCCAGAACUCCUAUCUCGCAACGGAGUCAAGUUCGGUGAGGCUGUUUGGUUCAAGGCGGGAGCCCAAAUUUUCAGCGAAGGCGGGCUAGACUACCUGGGGAAUCCAAGCUUGGUCCAUGCUCAAAGCAUUUUGGCAAUUUGGGCCACACAAGUUAUCUUGAUGGGUGCAGUGGAGGGAUACAGAAUUGCCGGUGGACCUCUCGGUGAGGUGACAGACCCUUUGUACCCCGGCGGGAGCUUUGAUCCAUUAGGGCUUGCCGAAGAUCCAGAGACUUUUGCUGAACUUAAGGUGAAGGAGCUCAAGAACGGAAGAUUGGCCAUGUUCUCCAUGUUCGGAUUUUUUGUGCAAGCCAUUGUCACUGGAAAGGGACCAAUUGAGAAUUUGGCCAACCACUUGGCUGACCCCGUUAACAACAAUGCUUGGUCGUAUGCCACGAACUUUGUUCCCGGAAAGUGAAGUUGAGAACGUGAGAGAACUGGCUUUACAGAUUGUGUCAGUAGGCAGCUCACAGCUGCUGUGAGUUGGGAUUUGUAUUUGUGUGGUUUUGUUCAUGUAAAUAUUGGUUGUGAAAGCAAUGGAAUAUUUCAACAAAACCCGACAUCUUUCAAGCAGGAAUCAAUCUUCUGGCCAACUUUGGU